GCUGGCGGCAGGCCUAACACAUGCAAGUCGAGCGGUAACAGGAAGAAGCUUGCUUCUUCUGCUGACGAGCGGCGGACGGGUGAGUAAUGCUUGGGAACUUGCCUUUAGAGGGGGAUAACCAUUGGAAACGAUGGCUAAUACCGCAUAAUGUCUCCGGACCAAAGCAGGGGAUCUUCGGACCUUGCACCUAAAGAUAGGCCCAAGUGAGAUUAGCUAGUUGGUGGGGUAACGGCCCACCAAGGCGACGAUCUCUAGCUGUUCUGAGAGGAUGAUCAGCCACACUGGGACUGAGACACGGCCCAGACUCCUACGGGAGGCAGCAGUGGGGAAUAUUGCACAAUGGGGGAAACCCUGAUGCAGCCAUGCCGCGUGUGUGAAGAAGGCCUUCGGGUUGUAAAGCACUUUCAGUGGUGAGGAAGGGUUGUAAGUUAAUACCUUGCAACAUUGACGUUAGCCACAGAAG
rnacentral:rRNA from 1 species